rnacentral:rRNA from 1 species
GGACGGGUGAGUAACGCGUGGGAACAUUGCCCUUUUCACUUACGGAAUAGUCCCGGGAAACUCGGGUUUAAUACCGUAUACGCCCUUUCGGGGGAAAGAAUUUCGGUGAAGGAUUGGCCCGCGUUAGAUUAGGUAGUUGGUGGGGUAAUGGCCUACCAAGCCUACGAUCUAUAGCUGGUUUUAGAGGAUGAUCAGCCACACUGGGACUGAGACACGGCCCAGACUCCUACGGGAGGCAGCAGUGGGGAAUCUUAGACAAUGGGCGAAAGCCUGAUCUAGCCAUGCCGCGUGAGUGACGAAGGCCUUAGGGUCGUAAAGCUCUUUCGCCAGGGAUGAUAAUGACAGUACCUGGUAAAGAAACCCCGGCUAACUCCGUGCCAGCAGCCGCGGUAAUACGGAGGGGGUUAGCGUUGUUCGGAAUUACUGGGCGUAAAGCGCGCGUAGGCGGAUUGGAAAGUUGGGGGUGAAAUCCCAGGGCUCAACCCUGGAACUGCCUCCAAAACUACUAGUCUAGAGUUCGAGAGAGGUGAGUGGAACUCCGAGUGUAGAGGUGAAAUUCGUAGAUAUUCGGAAGAACACCAGUGGCGAAGGCGGCUCACUGGCUCGAUACUGACGCUGA